UCUUUCUCAUUGGCUUCCAAGGUGCACACGUAAAUAAUCACAUUUCUUGCUUUUAGAACCAGAAUAUUCUUUUAAAACCCCAAAGAAGCAAUAUGCAACUUAAAUUAGAGAAUUAUGUUCACUCACAAAUUAUGCUUUAAAGAGACUUUGUGUCUUGCAAUGCAUCUUACUCAGAGGGAACUUCCAUGUUCAUGGAUUCCAGCUGUGCAAGCUAUAAACAUUUUAUGCUGUAACUUUUACAGACUGAGGAGUUACUCUGCAUUUAGAUUUGGUCCAAAGGAGCUGCAUCUAAAGGGCAAGUUCUUGCACCUAUCCAACUCUUUGUCCCCAGUGACAAAUAAAGGACCACCAGGAGAACAGUCUGAAACUUCUGACCAACAGAUGGAAAAAUGUACAAACUCUUCUUCUUCCAGUCAAGAUGCCAAUGAAAGAAGCAGAAUAAGAAAGCCUGACUUUCCCAGUGCCUCCAGAUGUAAAAUCUUCCCACCAGGUGCUUGA
rnacentral:lncRNA from 1 species